UUUGCUCUAACAAGGACGACGAAGAUUGUUGUGCAUGAAAAUCACCAGGAUUUUGCAAUAAUUGUGAGUAUUCCCAAUAAUCUCUAACCAUUUCUGAACUCUGAAAAGGCGGCUGCUGCUGCUGCUGCUGAGGUUGAUAUGUUUGAAAAAAUGGUGAUGGAGUUGUUGCUGCAGCCAUUAAUGGGAAUUGUGAAGCUGCUGAGGAGCUGGAAAUGGCUGAUCUUGUUGUGGGUUGAUAUUGUUGUUGUUGUUGUGGUAAUAAGCGGACAUUUUCGGGGAAAUUGAGCUUAGCUCUGUUUCCUCUGAAUCGAAGAGCAGCUUCAUCAUAAGCUCUAGCGGCAGCUUCAGC
rnacentral:lncRNA from 1 species